CAGCCGCCGCGGUAAUGCGUAGGUGGCAAGCGUUGUCCGGAAUUAUUGGGCGUAAAGGGCUCGCAGGCGGUUUCUUAAGUCUGAUGUGAAAGCCCCCGGCUCAACCGGGGAGGGUCAUUGGAAACUGGGAAACUUGAGUGCAGAAGAGGAGAGUGGAAUUCCACGUGUAGCGGUGAAAUGCGUAGAGAUGUGGAGGAACACCAGUGGCGAAGGCGACUCUCUGGUCUGUAACUGACGCUGAGGAGCGAAAGCGUGGGGAGCGAACAGGAUUAGAUACCCCGGUAGUCCCUGUCUCUUAUAC
rnacentral:rRNA from 1 species